rnacentral:lncRNA from 1 species
AUGGGACCCCCCUGCUGCCCCAGCUGCUCCCGGAGGAAAACCAGGAUGAGCCGGAUCUUGACUGCGGGGGCCUGGAGGGAGGCAAGCUGGUGGCUUCAGACUGUGCCUCCCCCAGGCCCUGGGUCUGUGCCAAGGGGACCAAGUGACUUGGGUUCUGCCCCCGCUGAGCCGGUUGGGGGCACCAGCCCCCAGGGGAGACCAGAUCAAGAGCUGGAGCAGCCUGUUCCCCGGACCCAGGCCCCCAGGCCUCCCCGCUCUGCUCAGCGGCCCUGCCUCAGCCAAUCAGGGAGCAGACUCCGGGCACAGGAAAAUCACAUCUGCGGCGAAGGAGGCUGGCUGCGGCUGGGUACCCACCGGGUCUCCAGCUGCCCGGGCAGCGUUGUUCUGAGACCUUGGUUUUGGUUUUUGGGGUUUUUUUUGUUAGUUUUUAGCAUUCUGGGUCUCAGUCUCUCCCUCAUUGAAAAUGGCCAUUUUGAGGAGUUCCCAUUGUGGCUCAGCAGUAAUGAAACCCAACUAGGAUCCAUGAAGAUACAGGUUUGAUCCCUGGCGUCGCUCAGUGGGUUAAGGAUCUGGCGUGGCCAUGAGCUGUGGUGUAGGUCAUAGGACGCGGCUCAGAUCUGGCGAUGCUGUGGCUGUGGCUGAGGCCAGCAGGUGCAGUUCUGAUUCGACCCCUAGCCUGGGAACAUCCAUAUGCCGCGGAUGCAGCCCUAAAAAGACACAAAACAAAAAGCCAUUGCCCAUUCUCUCACGUACCUACCUGCUUGGUCACAGGAGCACAUGCUUACAGUCACAGAGAAACAGGCUGGACGGUCACAGGUGAUCCCCACCUGAGUUCUCAUUGGGCCCAUGAAGCGAGUCUCCCACUUUGCGGCAGUGGGAUUUGGCAGCAAUAACACCAUCGCUCUAAGUGCCAUUUCCAGGCGGCCAGGCACACCGACAGCGUCCAUGGAGAGAGGAAGGCAGUUCCUUGUCCCUGCCCCGGGAGGUGACAGAGUAAGGCGGAGACUGGCAUGUGGGCGCUGGCGGGGCCGCCGACCAGCUGAGGCCCAAGGCUGGAGAGAUGCAGAGAGGAUGGAGCCGCCUGAGGAGGAGCCAAGGGAGGACCCCUCUCUUGGUUGGCAAGGCCACCGCAACCCUUGGGGUCCCCCGAGUGAGAAAAGACAUCAGAAACGAGAGGAGGUUUGAGGCAGCUCUUCUACCCACAGCCGUGGGCACACCAGCCUGAAGAGGCCUCUCCACGGUGAAGUUCAAUGAAUGGCCUUUGGACUGAAAGGAGCAGCAGCAAGGCGGGGGGACGGUGUGUUGAGUCUGCACCCUGGAGAGACUUCGUUCAAAGACAGGAGACUCCCUGCGUCUUACCUGCCCCGAGCAACUGUCAAGUGCAAACCAAUCUUCCUCUUUAAAGGCAGAGCAGGAGUCCAGACUUAUCUCAGAGAAACCGCUCCUGGUCCAUUUAAACUGAGAGUUUGUACAGAAUGUGUGGCCACCUGGGUUGAAAGGGAUGGGGAGGCCUAGGAGCACUUGACAAGCAAUAAAAAUCUCAGAAAUACCCUGGUGUUUCUCAUGGCUUUCUCCUGAUUCCAUCCUUUUCUUUUCUUCCUUUUGGCUGUGCCUGAAGAAUGUGGAAGUUCCUGGGCAGGGAUGGUACCUGCGCCACAGCAGCAACCCGAGCUGCUGCAGAGACACCACCAGGUCCUUAACCCACUGAGCCACAAGGGAACUCCUUGUUCCAACUUCAAAUUAGCCCCCGAGCUUGAUGACAUGUUCAAGUUUAUCUCAAUUCAAAGCCCUUCUUGGAGUUCCCAUCAUGGCUCAGUGGUUAACAAAUCCGACUAGGAACCAUGAGGUUGCACGUUCGAUCCCUGACCUCACUCAGUGGGUUAAGGAUCUGGUGUCGCUGUGGCUGUGGUGUAGGCCGGGAGCUGUAGCUCCAAUUAGACCCCUGGCCUGGAAAGCUCCAUAUGCCGCAAGUGCAGCCCUAAAAGACAAAAGACAAAAAAAAAAAAAAAAAAAAAAAAAAAAAAAAAAAAAAAAAAAAAGGAGGAGACAAAUACGAGAAGAAAUAGCAAAAAUAACUUAAAGUGGUUGCCUUAAAGCUAACUGAUGGCGACAGAAGUCAGGACAAACAGCAGUUACCUUGGGGGAGGGGAGUAUUAACUGGACAGGGGUACCAGGGAGUAUCUGAGGGUGCUGGACUACUUUUUUUUCCUUUUCUUGCCUUCCAGGGCUAAACCUGUGGCAUAUGGAAGUUCCCAAGCUAGGGGUCCAAUCGGAGCUGCAGCUGCCGGCCAGAGCCACAGCAACACAGGAUCCAAGCUGCGUCUGCAACCAACACCACAGCUCACGGCAACGCUGGAUCCUCGGCCCAGUGAGUGAGGCCAGGGACCGAACCUUCAUCCUCAUGGAUCCUAGCCAGGCUCUUUAAUAACUGAGCCACAAGGGGAACUCCCUAGAAUGGUCUAGAUCUUGAUCUGGGUGUGGGGUUGGAUGGAUAUAUCUAGGCAGUUACAUCAAGCUGUACAUUUAAGGUUAAGAAACUUAAAUGCCUGUGUUGAAGGAACAGGAGUGAGGUUACAGGGAGACUGAUGUUUUUCUUUUUUAAAAUUAUACACACUUUGGAGUUCCUGGUAUGGCUCACUGGAAAUGAAUCUGACUAGUAUCCAUGAGGACACAGGUUUGAUCCCUGGCCUGGCUUAGUGGGUUAAGGAUCCAGCAUUGCCACGAGCUGUGGUGAAGGUCACAGACGCGGCUUGGAUCUGGCAUUACUGUGGCUGUGGCGUAGGCCGGCAGUUACAGCUCCAAAUCAACCCCUAGCCUGGGAAUAUGCCAUGGGUGUGGCCCUGAAAAAAAUGUAUAUAUAUAUUGUAAAUAAUAUAUAGUAUAUAUAUUAUAUAUAUAUAUAUACACACCCUUCAGUACUAUUAAAAAUGCAAGGGCCAGGCCAUACCCAUGGCAUAUGGAGGUUCCCAAGCUAGGGGUCUAAUCAGAGCUGUAGCCUCCAGCCAAUGCCACAGCAACACAGGAUCCGAGCUAUGGCUGUGACCUACACCACAACUCACGGCAAUGCCAGAUCCUUAACCCAGUGAGCAA